AGCAAAGAAUUAAAUUAAGAUGUGUUCAGAAUCUGUAAGAACUGUAAUACAAUAUCUCUUAAUAAAAAAUAGGUGACAACCUUAACACCUCCUGACAUUUCUGCCUCAUUCUUAGCUAUCUUCUGUCUUUUAUUUCUAGAAGCAUGUGUUCUUUUCCCGGAAUAAAAUUUUGGCUGUUGCAUAUCCUCCUGGAUGUUUUUGGUAUGUGGAUGCACUGUAAUA
rnacentral:lncRNA from 1 species